UCAGGAAGAGUCAUAGGAAUCCUUCAGGCUGAAAAUCAAGAUGGAGGCCCCCUAUGAGCAGGUCCUAAGAGUCCUACUAGCCUGUUACUGCCAAGAAUGAAGUCACUCGGUAGCAGACUCGCAGCUCCUUAUGCUUUGUGCAGCCAAGGCUGCUCCUUAGCAACCAAUGUCGACAACUGGGUUUCCAAGGAAACCAGAAAGCCCAAUUUAUAAAACUAUGAAACAAAGCAACUGUAAAGGCAACACUAGACACAGAAGAAAUUAUGAGUGUGCCUGCCUCUCCUGCCUCCCCUUUCACCUCCUCCACCUCUUCUGACUCUGCCAUCUGUGAGACAGCAAGACCAACACCUCCUCUUCCUCCUCCUCCUCAGCCUACUCAAGGCGAAGGCAGUGAAGAUAAAGACCUUUAUGGUGAUCCACUUCCACUUAACAAAUAGUAAUUAUAUUUUAUCUUAAUAAUAUUUUCUUUUCCCUAGCUUACUUUAUUAUAAGAAUACAGUAUAUAACAUGAAAUAUGUGUUAUGUUAAUUGUCAGCUUAUGUUAUCGGUAAGGCUUCUGGUCAACAGUAGGCUAUUAGUAAUUAAGUUUUGGAAGUGUCAAAAGUUAUACAUAUAUUUUUAACUGUGUGGGAGGUUGAUUCCUCUAAUCCCAUGUUGUUCAAGGGCCAAGUGUACUUGAUAUGUCACUUGUCAUUUAAAUUCUCCACAAAGAGUUGGAUGGAUGAGUCAUUUUCCCCAGACUGAAGGCAUCAUGAAGGCCUGACGGUGUCACCAACUCCCCUCCUGCAACAUCAGCUGAACAGAUACAGUCCUCGCUUAGACCACCCUCAGAGAGCACAGUUUGUAAAGCUCAUGAAAAUGGAAGUUGUAGAAAGCACUAAAAGUUGCUAAAAUACUUUCAUAUGAAAAAGACUCAAAUCCGCCCACUGGAUUAGACAAAAACCUGAGCUGAAUGAGCCCCAGCUAUCUAUCUAGAAUUUUAUCUUCAUUCCUCAUUUGUCUUCCUUGCUCCCAGUGGAGAGAAGGGGAUAUACAAACAGACCGCUGCAGUUAGAAAAAGGCAAUAGUUGCCUCAGAAACCCAGCUCCUGGUCCCUCCUCAGUUCAACUCCAGUUCCCACUUUGGUAGAUCAGCCUGUGGAACAAAUGGGGUGGCAUUCACUACCCAGUGAUAAUUAAAAUUUAAAUGGCUAUAAGAAAACAAGUCCUCUACUGUUUAUUGGUGCCCAUACAAUCAUCAAAACAUAGGUACUGUAUAUCUUACAAAUGUGACUCAAAAAGAUUGAAAGUGGAAUAGAUUCUAAGAAACAAGCAAUUGUAUUAUUCACAUUCCAGCUGAUCUGUAUCACCAAAUAACAAAUAAAUAAUCCAAGGAAUUCCUCCGGGAGCAAUCUUUUUCCUUGAGGUUUCCCGUUCAUUUUUUAAAAAUUUCAGCAAAUAUUUAUGGAGGACCCACUUUGUGACAUCCACUGGGGUGCAGGUGCUUAGUAGGGGCUUGCUACCCCUGCCAUUGGUCUUCCAUUCUAAGUUGGGAAGAGAAAACUUUUUUCUUUAAGAAACAUUCUAUUAAACACAGGAUUAGUGAUACAUGAAUAUAUAUCCUCCAAGUCAACAGGUUCAUUUCCUCCUGGAUUUCUCUAAGUUACUUUGUUGUUGCUAUUUUUAUAACAUAAUUAGAAUGUGCUAGAAAAAUAAUAGAAAUGGGUCAAAUUGAUACUUUCCUUUCUCAAACAACUUUUUAUCAAAAGGAAGAAAACUAAAUGUAUUUGUUUCUUGGCUAUUAAAAAUACAUUGGAGCAAACAGACACUUCGGAUUAGACUAUCACAAAGGAAAAGUCAAAUAAUUCCUGAGGCAUUCAAAAACAUAUGCAGAAAUGUCAGUAAACAUCCUUGAAUGAUUUUUCCCCGCCCUGGCAGAAUGAAAAGGGUAAGGAAAAACACUAGAUGCAAGAAUCAGCAGACAGACAGUAGCUCGGUUUGUCUUCCAUUUGCCUUAUCCCCAGACAGUUCAUGAUUCUUGGUUUUAGAAACUGGACCACAGGGAUGACAGCUGAGUGUCUGAUUUUUCAAAUGACUGAUGUUCAAUCACGGGGCACAUAGGGGUCAAACCUUGCAGCUAUUUCAAAAACACUUAUGUGUAAUCUGAUGAAAAGACAUAGCUAAACAGAAAAUAUAUAAACAAAUUUGAAGUUUGGGAAGUCUUGUUGAAGAAUCACUAAACUGACAGCACAGAAGUAAAAGUAACUGAAUUAUAAAGGAGGGGGACAAAAGCCCAGAUCUGGAAAUAGUCAUUCUAUUUCAAGAUUCGUCCUGAAGAACUGUACUUUAUAAGAAGUUAAUUACACUUGUGAAAGCUACUAUCAUUCUGCCAUUAUCUAUACUCCCACUAAAUCGCUAUUAGAAAGACUACCAACUCCAUAUGUCACAUUAAGAAAAAAAAGACGAAACCAAGCAAGUUUGUAAAAACUGAUGAAAGGACAACAAACCAAUGCAAUGGCCUUCGCUGCUGGUUAUAUGGCACCCAUUUUAGCUUUUUAACUUCCUAGGACAGACUUAUAUAAGUACUUUCCCAUCAGAAAUAAAAUUGUUAUACCAUUUUCAAAAAAUAUCAUGUGGUUAUA